ACCAGACUCCUACGGGAGGCAGCAGUGGGGAAUAUUGCACAAUGGGGGAAACCCUGAUGCAGCGACGCCGCGUGAGUGAAGAAGUAUUUCGAUAUGUAAAGCUCUAUCAGCAGGGAAGAAAAUGACGGUACCUGACUAAGAAGCCCCGGCUAACUACGUGCCAGCAGCCGCGGUAAUACGUAGGGGGCAAGCGUUAUCCGGAUUUACUGGGUGUAAAGGGAGCGUAGACGGCAUGGCAAGUCAGAUGUGAAAGCCCGGGGCUCAACCCCGGGACUGCAUUUGAAACUGUUUUUCUUGAGUACUGGAGAGGCAGACGGAAUUCCUAGUGUAGCGGUGAAAUGCGUAGAUAUUAGGAGGAACACCAGUGGCGAAGGCGGUCUGCUGGACAGCAACUGACGCUGAGGCGCGAAAGCGUGGGGAGCAAACAGGAUUAGAUACCCGAGUAU
rnacentral:rRNA from 1 species